rnacentral:lncRNA from 1 species
UGGCUCAGCAGGGCAGGGGUGUGUGGUGAAGAUAUAGACCAGUCUCUCUCUCCCAGACUGGUCAGCAGGGCGGGGUUUGUGGUGAAGAUAUGACCAGUCUCUCUCUCCAGAUGGUCAGAGGGCAGGGGUGUGUGGUGAAGAUAUAGACGUCUCUCUCUCCAGAAUGGCUCAGCAGGGCAGGGGUGUGUGGUGAAGAUAUAGACCAGUCUCUCUCUCCAGACUGGCUCAGCAGGGCAGGGGUGUGUGGUGAAGAUAUAGACCAGUCUCUCUCUCCAGACUGGCUCAGCAGGGCAGGGGUGUGUGGUGAAGAUAUAGACCAGUCUCUCUCUCCAGACUGGCUCAGCAGGGCAGGGGUGUGUGGUGAAGUAUAGACCAGUCUUUUCUCCAGUGGUCA